rnacentral:rRNA from 1 species
AGAGUUUGAUCAUGGCUCAUGACGAACGCUGGCGGCGUGCCUAAUACAUGCAAGUAGAACGCUGAAGAGAGGAGCUUGCUCUUCUUGGAUGAGUUGCGAACGGGUGAGUAACGCGUAGGUAACCUGCCUUGUAGCGGGGGAUAACUAUUGGAAACGAUAGCUAAUACCGCAUAACAAUGGAUGACACAUGUCAUUUAUUUGAAAGGGGCAAUUGUUCCACUACAAGAUGGACCUGCGUUGUAUUAGCUAGUAGGUGAGGUAAUGGCUCACCUAGGCGACGAUACAUAGCCGACCUGAGAGGGUGAUCGGCCACACUGGGACUGAGACACGCCCAGACUCCUACGGGAGGCAGCAGUAGGGAAUCUUCGGCAAUGGGGGCAACCCUGACCGAGCAACGCCGCGUGAGUGAAGAAGGUUUUCGGAUCGUAAAGCUCUGUUGUAAGUCAAGAACGGGUGUGAGAGUGGAAAGUUCACACUGUGACGGUAGCUUACCAGAAAGGGACGGCUAACUACGUGCCAGCAGCCGCGGUAAUGCGUAGGUCCCGAGCGUUGUCCGGAUUUAUUGGGCGUAAAGCGAGCGCAGGCGGUUUGAUAAGUCUGAAGUUAAAGGCUGUGGCUCAACCAUAGUUCGCUUUGGAAACUGUCAAACUUGAGUGCAGAAGGGGAGAGUGGAAUUCCAUGUGUAGCGGUGAAAUGCGUAGAUAUAUGGAGGAACACCGGUGGCGAAAGCGGCUCUCUGGUCUGUAACUGACGCUGAGGCUCGAAAGCGUGGGGAGCGAACAGGAUUAGAUACCCUGGUAGUCCACGCCGUAAACGAUGAGUGCUAGGUGUUGGAUCCUUUCCGGGAUUCAGUGCCGCAGCUAACGCAUUAAGCACUCCGCCUGGGGAGUACGACCGCAAGGUUGAAACUCAAAGGAAUUGACGGGGGCCCGCACAAGCGGUGGAGCAUGUGGUUUAAUUCGAAGCAACGCGAAGAACCUUACCAGGUCUUGACAUCCCGAUGCUAUUUCUAGAGAUAGAAAGUUACUUCGGUACAUCGGUGACAGGUGGUGCAUGGUUGUCGUCAGCUCGUGUCGUGAGAUGUUGGGUUAAGUCCCGCAACGAGCGCAACCCCUAUUGUUAGUUGCCAUCAUUCAGUUGGGCACUCUAGCGAGACUGCCGGUAAUAAACCGGAGGAAGGUGGGGAUGACGUCAAAUCAUCAUGCCCCUUAUGACCUGGGCUACACACGUGCUACAAUGGUUGGUACAACGAGUUGCGAGUCGGUGACGGCGAGCUAAUCUCUUAAAGCCAAUCUCAGUUCGGAUUGUAGGCUGCAACUCGCCUACAUGAAGUCGGAAUCGCUAGUAAUCGCGGAUCAGCACGCCGCGGUGAAUACGUUCCCGGGCCUUGUACACACCGCCCGUCACACCACGAGAGUUUGUAACACCCGAAGUCGGUGAGGUAACCUUUUGGAGCCAGCCGCCUAAGGUGGGACAGAUGAUUGGGGUGAAGUCGUAACAAGGUA